rnacentral:ncRNA from 1 species
CUUGCAAGACACGGGAGCUGGAAAGCUGAGAGGGAGAUUGAUUCUCCGACCGUUGAACGUGACACGGCUAAUACCGUCGAACGAAGUCAAUGCCUAUCUUGG